rnacentral:rRNA from 1 species
UUAUUGAUUAUGACGUACUUGUACUGAUUGAGAUUUUAACACGAAGUGAGUGGCGAACGGGUGAGUAACACGUGGGUAACCUGCCCAGAAGUAGGGGAUAACACCUGGAAACAGAUGCUAAUACCGUAUAACAGAGAAAACCGCAUGGUUUUCUUUUAAAAGAUGGCUCUGCUAUCACUUCUGGAUGGACCCGCGGCGUAUUAGCUAGUUGGUGAGGUAAAGGCUCACCAAGGCAGUGAUACGUAGCCGACCUGAGAGGGUAAUCGGCCACAUUGGGACUGAGACACGGCCCAGACUCCUACGGGAGGCAGCAGUAGGGAAUCUUCCACAAUGGACGCAAGUCUGAUGGAGCAACGCCGCGUGAGUGAAGAAGGGUUUCGGCUCGUAAAGCUCUGUUGUUAAAGAAGAACGUGGGUAAGAGUAACUGUUUACCCAGUGACGGUAUUUAACCAGAAAGCCACGGCUAACUACGUGCCAGCAGCCGCGGUAAUACGUAGGUGGCAAGCGUUAUCCGGAUUUAUUGGGCGUAAAGCGAGCGCAGGCGGUCUUUUAAGUCUAAUGUGAAAGCCUUCGGCUCAACCGAAGAAGUGCAUUGGAAACUGGGAGACUUGAGUGCAGAAGAGGACAGUGGAACUCCAUGUGUGAACCC